CUGCUGCCUCCCGUAGGAGUCUGGGCCGUGUCUCAGUCCCAAUGUGGCCGUUCAACCUCUCAGUCCGGCUACUGAUCGUCGACUUGGUAGGCCGUUACCCCACCAACUAUCUAAUCAGACGCGAGUCCAUCCUUAGGCGCCUCAGCUUUGGUAUAUCUACGAUGCCGUUAAUAUACUUUAUAUGGUAUUACCGUCCGUUUCCAGACGCUAUCCCUUUCCUAAGGGCAGGUUACUCACGCGUUACUCACCCGUCCGCCACU
rnacentral:rRNA from 1 species